GGGGAAAGUGAGCAGGUCAGGACCCCACAGGGAUAGAUACGUUAUAGAUGGGUUUGCUGGCGGUAGCUGUUGCUGCCUCCUCCCCUUCUCCUCCCCUCUUCCUUCUCCUCCUGCCCUCCUCCUCCUCUUCCUCUUCCCACCCGCCUCUCCUCCUGGCUGUCUGAAGCUCUUAAACCGAAGAAGAACUGCGUUUCCUCCCACACGCCCUGGGCUCUUGGGUUCCUACUGUAACCCUCACAAAGCUUUGCCGCAGAUUCAUCGGUGGGCCAGCCAAAGCCUGUACCCUUUAGACUUGCAAGGGAAGCCCUUUCCACUGCGGAGGCCGCUCUGCUACCGUCUGAAUGGCAUCCUGUGAAACCAAGUGCUAGACAAAGAGCCAGGAAGAGAUGUAAAUAAUAGCAAGAGGUGAUGAUAGCUGCACAUAAUACAAUCUCCGAAGAGCAGGAGCCGGAGCCCGCCAGUUUCUGGUUAGACACCAAGCAGACCGGAGCCAAGCACUCUGCAUGUCAAAACAGAACAAUAAAUGCGAGGCACGAAGAAGAAAGCCAAUGGAAAUGAGAGGCAAGUCUGGUGACAUUUCAUCUUUUUAUGAGGACCAAAUCCCAUGCGUGGGGACAUCGGAGGGCAGGAUCGAAUUCCAUUUUGCAAGGACUAAGAGUGUUUCUUCAUGCCCCCCCUUCCUGUUUUCCUUUCCCAGGCCUUCCCCCCCUUCUUUCUUACUUAAACGAAAUAAUAAAAGCAU